CCUCUGUGACAGUAAACUCUCAGUGAAAAACCACCACCUGUUCAGUAGAAGAAAUGCUGAAAAUGUCUUUAAAGUCAAGGAAGUUUCUGGAGCCAUGCUGUGAGUCUUCUAUGAAAAAACAGAGGGCAACAGCACCCUGAGGAGCUGCUCAGCUGUUCACUAUUGCCUAUUAAACACAAUGAAGCUGGGACACUGGUGGCAUAAUGAGCAGGGGCCCACGUAUAUCGAGCCUAUGUGAGGCUUAGAAAAGCUGGACAACACUGCAGAGGAGGCG